rnacentral:rRNA from 1 species
UUGGCGGACGGGUGAGUAACGCGUGGAAAACCUGCCGUAUACUGGGGGAUAACACUUAGAAAUAGGUGCUAAUACCGCAUAAGCGCACAGCUUCGCAUGAAGCGGUGUGAAAAACUCUGGUGGUAUACGAUGGUUCCGCGUCUGAUUAGCCAGUUGGUGGGGUAAUGGCCUACCAAGGCAACGAUCAGUAGCCGGCCUGAGAGGGUGAACGGCCACAUUGGGACUGAGACACGGCCCAAACUCCUACGGGAGGCAGCAG